rnacentral:rRNA from 1 species
GACGUAGGGAGCGAGCGUUGUCCGGAUUUAUUGGGCGUAAAGAGCUCGUAGGCGGCUUAGCAAGUCGGGUGUGAAACCCCCAGGCUUAACCUGGGGACGCCACUCGAUACUGCUAUGGCUUGAGUCCGGUAGGGGCGCGUGGAAUACCCGGUGUAGCGGUGAAAUGCUUAGAUAUCGGGUGGAACACCAGUAGCGAAGGCGGUGCGCUGGGCCGGAACUGACGCUGAGGAGCGAAAGCGUGGGUAGCAAACAGG